AGCGAACGUUAGCGGCAGGCCUAACACAUGCAAGUCGCGCGAGAAUGGGGGCUUCGGCUCCUAGUAAAGCGGCGGACGGGUGAGUAACACGUGGAUAAUCUGCCCUUCGGCGGGGGACAACAGUCCGAAAGGAUUGCUAAUACCGCGUAAGUCAGCGAGGUCUUCGGAUCUUGUCGGGAAAGAUGGCCUCUUCAUGAAAGCUAUCACCGAAGGAUGAGUCCGCGUCCCANCAGCUAGUUGGCGGUGUAAGAGACCACCAAGGCUAAGACGGGUAGCUGGUCUGAGAGGAUGAUCAGCCACACUGGAACUGAGACACGGUCCAGACUCCUACGGGAGCAGCAGUGGGAAUAUUGGGCAAUGGGCGCAAGCCUGACCCAGCCAAUGCCGCGUGAGUGAUGAAGGCCUU
rnacentral:rRNA from 1 species